GAAUGUCUUCGGAUGUUUGAGACCGGCGCACGGGUGCGUAACACGAUGCAACCUACCUUUUACUGGGGAAUAGCCCGAAGAAAUUCGGAUUAAUGCCCCAUAUGCUCGUACAAUCGCAUGAUUGAGCGAGGAAAGCUCCGGCGGUAAAAGAUGGGCAUGCGUCCUAUUAGCUUGUUGGUGAGGUAAUGGCUCACCAAGGCUACGAUAGGUAGGGGACCUGAGAGGGUGAACCCCCACACUGGUACUGAGACACGGACCAGACUCCUACGGGAGGCAGCAGUGAGGAAUAUUGGGCAAUGGAGGAAACUCUGACCCAGCCAUGCCGCGUGCAGGAAGACGGCCCUCUGGGUUGUAAACUGCUUUUAUAUGGGAAUAAACCCUUCCACGUGUGGAAGGCUGA
rnacentral:rRNA from 1 species